GCAGACCAAACGCUGUGAUCAUCACUGCAUUAGUUUACUUUACCUGAACAGGUGUGCCUGAUACUCAUCUACAACAGAUUCCCCAGAGGAAGAAGAAUUUACACAAAUCAACAUGAAGGUUCUCAUACUGGCCGCUCUUCUCUGUAUGCACUCUGCUGUGACCCAUGCUGCGACCCAUGCUGCGACCCAGUCUGCACCUGUCUCUAACUCGACAGCCUCCUCUAUAGUGGAGGGCCUUCUGCACACCUGUUUUGGAGAAUAAUAUUUAUU